rnacentral:rRNA from 1 species
AACGAACGCUGGCGGCAGGCUUAACACAUGCAAGUCGAGCGGAGUGAUGGUGCUUGCACUAUCACUUAGCGGCGGACGGGUGAGUAAUGCUUAGGAAUCUGCCUAUUAGUGGGGGACAACAUCUCGAAAGGGAUGCUAAUACCGCAUACGUCCUACGGGAGAAAGCAGGGGAUCACUUGUGACCUUGCGCUAAUAGAUGAGCCUAAGUCGGAUUAGCUAGUUGGUGGGGGAAAGGCCUACCAAGGCGACGAUCUGUAGCGGGUCUGAGAGGAUGAUCCACCACACUGGGACUGAGACACGGCGCAGACUCCUACGGGAGGCAGCAGUGGGGAAUAUUGGACAAUGGGGGGAACCCUGAUCCAGCCAUGCCGCGUGUGUGAAGAUGGCCUUAUGGUUGUAAAGCACUUUAAGCGAGGAGGAGGCUCUUUUGGUUAAUACCCAAGAUGAGUGGACGUUACUCGCAGAAUAAGCACCGGCUAACUCUGUGCCAGCCGCCGCAGUAA